rnacentral:rRNA from 1 species
AUGAACGCUGGCGGCAUGCCUAACCCAUGCAAGUCGAUCGGUAAGGCUCUUCGGAGUACACGAGAGGCGGACGGCUGAGUAACGCGUAGGAACACACCCUGCAGUGAGGGAUAAGACACCGAAAGGUGUUCUAAUACCGCAUACGGUCUUCGGAUUAAAGCAUUUAUGCGCUGAAGGAGUGGCCUGCGUCAUAUUAGAUAGUUGGUGAGGUAAUGGCUCACCAAGUCGAUGAUGUGUAGCUGGUCUGAGAGGAUGAUCAGCCAGACUGGAACUGAGACACGGUCCAGACUCCUACGGGAGGCAGCAGUGAGGAAUAUUUCACAAUGAGCGAAAGCUUGAUGGAGCAAUGCCGCGUGCAGGAUGAAGGCCCUCGGGUUGUAAACUGCUUUUAUAAGAGAAGAUUAUGACGGUAACUUAUGAAUAAGGGACGGCUAACUACGUG